AUUGAACGCUGGCGGCAUGCCUUACACAUGCAAGUCGAACGGCAGCACGGGUGCUUGCACCUGGUGGCGAGUGGCGAACGGGUGAGUAAUAUAUCGGAACGUACCUUAUUGUGGGGGAUAACGCAGCGAAAGCUGUGCUAAUACCGCAUAAUCCCUAAGGGGGAAAGCGGGGGACCGUAAGGCCUCGCGCAAUUAGAGCGGCCGAUACCUGAUUAGCUAGUUGGUGAGGUAAAGGCUCACCAAGGCAACGAUCAGUAGCUGGUCUGAGAGGACGAUCAGCAACACUGGGACUGAGACACGGCCCAGACUCCUACGGGAGGCAGCAGUGGGGAAUUUUGGACAAUGGGGGCAACCCUGAUCCAGCAAUGCCGCGUGAGUGAAGGAGGCCUUCGGGUUGUAAAGCUCUUUUGUCAGGGAAGAAACAGCAGCUCUAACACAGUUUGCGAAUGACGGUACCUGAAGAAUAAGCACCGGCUAACUACGUGCCAGCAGCCGCCGUAA
rnacentral:rRNA from 1 species